rnacentral:rRNA from 1 species
CUCUACAUAGUUUACCUGGGCGAAGUGAAGCAUGAUCACCCCGACCACGUCGUGGCUUCACACCAUGACAUGCUCACCACUCUUCUCGGAAGCAAGGAAGAAUCUAUGGCCUCCGUGGUGUACAACUACAAGCACGGCUUCUCGGGCUUCGCCGCCAUGCUCACACCGGAGCAAGCAAAACAACUUGCAGAGGUUCCGGAGGUCAUCAGCGUCGAAAAGAACAAAAUUCACACGACGGCCACCACGCGAAGUUGGGACUUUCUUGGCCUCAACUACCAGAUGACUGGUACUAGCAAUGGGCUAGUCAAGGGAAGCAACUAUGGAGAGGAUGUAAUCAUCGGGGUGGUUGACACCGGGAUAUGGCCGGAGUCGAGAAGCUUCAACGAUGAAGGGUAUGGGCCAAUACCGUCAAGGUGGAAAGGGAAGUGCCAACUGGGGCCAGACUGGGGCAUCAACAACUGUAGCCGCAAGAUCAUCGGCGCGCGGUUCUACAGCGCCGGAGUGUCUGAUGAGGUCCUCAAGAUAGACACGCUCUCGCCCCGCGACCAUAAUGGCCAUGGCACACACUGUGCGUCCACUGCGGCGGGCUCAAUGGUGGAGGGAGCCAGCUUCAACGGCCUCGCCCAGGGAGUUGCACGGGGAGGCGCGCCACAUGCUCGCAUCGCGGUGUACAAGUCCCUUUGGGGCACGGGCAGAACCAACGAAGGCAGCACGGCGGCAAUUCUCGCCGCUAUCGACGAUGCAAUCCACGAUGGUGUGGACGUACUAUCGUUGUCCCUCACUUCCGAAGAGAACUCAUUCGGUGCUCUUCACGCGGUUCAGAAGGGGAUCACUGUGGUGUAUGCAGGUGGCAACGAAGGGCCCAGGUCGCGGACCAUCAGGAACACUUCACCGUGGGCCAUCACCGUUGGGGCAAGCACGGUUGAUCGGUCGUUCCCCACGGUGAUCACGCUGGGAAACAAGCAACAAAUUGUGGGACAAUCUCUUUAUUACCAAGCGAAGAACUCAUCGGGGAGCAGUUUUACAGGUCUUGUCUUUCCUGACGGGUAA